UUGUUAUUGAAUUUUCUUUUUAUCACCUUGCUCGAACACAACCAACUGGUCAGAGAUUCAGCGCACGACUGAGACCUAACACCAGAGACACGACUUCCAGCGGCUCGACGCUGCGAAACACUUACACACGGCCAUCCGCCUCAUCUCGGCU